rnacentral:rRNA from 2 species
UGGGGAAUAUUGCGCAAUGGGGGCAACCCUGACGCAGCAACGCCGCGUGAAGGAUGAAGGUCUUCGGAUUGUAAACUUUUGUCUUAUGGGAAGAAAACAAUGACGGUACCAUAGGAGGAAGCCACGGCUAACUACGUGCCAGCAGCUGCGGUAAUACGUAGGUGGCGAGCGUUGUCCGGAUUUACUGGGUGUAAAGGGCGUGUAGGCGGGUGUGUAAGUCAGAUGUGAAAUACCGAGGCUUAACUUCGGGGCUGCAUUUGAAACUGCACAUCUUGAGUGUCGGAGAGGAAAGCGGAAUUCCUAGUGUAGCGGUGAAAUGCGUAGAUAUUAGGAGGAACACCAGUGGCGAAGGCGGCUCUCUGGACCUUUCCUGACGCUGAGAAGCGAAAGCGUGGGGAGCAAACAGG